CCUACGGGUGGCAGCAGUGAGGAAUAUUGGUCAAUGGUCGGGAGACUGAACCAGCCAAGCCGCGUGAGGGAGGAAGGUACAGAGUAUCGUAAACCUCUUUUGUCAGGGAACAAAGACUGGGACGCGUCCCCGGAUGAGUGUACCUGAAGAAAAAGCAUCGGCUAACUCCGUUCCAGCCGCCGCGGUAAUACGGGGGAUGCGAGCGUUAUCCGGAUUUAUGGGGUUUAAGGGGUGCGCAGGCGGUCUGUUAAGUCAGCGGUCAAAGCCCGGGGCUCAACCCCGUCCCGCCGUUGAAACUGGCAGUCUCGAGUUGGAGAGAAGUAUGCGGAAUGCGCGGUGUAGCGGUGAAAUGCAUAGAUAUCGCGCAGAACUCCGAUUGCGAAGGCAGCAUGCCGGCUCCACACUGACGCUGAGGCACGAAAGCGUGGGUAUCGAACAGGAUUAGAUACCCGAGUAGUC
rnacentral:rRNA from 1 species